GGUUGCAAGCAUCCAAUGAUGCUUGCAGCCUCCUCUGUGAUUAAACCUUUUAUCAAACUCACAUGAGAAGUCUGAAGUCUUGGGUAGGAGGAUGGUUGAAUGGAGGGAAACCAUCUGUUCCCCUACAUUCAACAUCAGAAUAUUUCAUGCUUGACUAGAAUCAUUCUACUUUUCAAGUGACAUUAAAAAGUCUCUCAUUUCUAAAAACAACAAUUUUUCCCAUUUCAUCAAUUAUUGCAAUACAUGUCAAAAAUAGAGACUUAGAAUUUUUUGGCAAAGGGGGGCAAUGUGCACAUUUUAUGUCAUAAUAACAUGUGUUAGCCUUUAAGGUUCUGUGCUGCUUAGUUGCUUACUGCAACAGACUAUCUAGUUCCUGGAACAUAUUUUCUGAGUUGUAUCACUUUACCACAGUCAAGUACAUUAUGCCAAAUGAAUGCUUGUUCAAUUAGGUGGAUGAUGGUUUAAGAUUCAUUGCCAUAAAUAAAUUACACUAGCUCAGCUUUCUGUGAAUCACAUGUGCAUUUGGGAUGUGCCUUUGGUUCUGAUGAAGUCCAAAGACCAAGCUAUCUUGUGCCAGCACAGAGCAGUUCUGGUGCCUCCGGAAUAGGCUUCUCUCAAAAUGGCCAAAAGCCCACAGUGGACUUUGCAUGUAGAUUUUCAGAUUCAGAAAGGAAAGAAAAAGCUCACUUCGAAACACAGAGAGUGAUGAGAAGAAAAGUUGAACUAUAAUUUGCAAUGCAAUAAAGUCAGAUGCAGAAAAUUGGAUGACUCAUCAUUAAGAAAACCUGCCUAUCCCACUUCAGGAGGCUGAUAUAGGAAGGAAAUGUAUGCAUAUUAAAAACCUGUAUCAUUGAGGUAUGUUGAUUGCCACGUGACUUUCAUGUGUGAAUGUGCCCUCUCAGAACAAACUCCAAUGCAACUCACAGAUAUGGCCUUUACAACCCUUUAAUGAGUGGUUGUUAGUAGAGUUGCUUUGUUCACAUAGCUAGGAACCAGCAAAUGACAAUUGGUUUAGUGGUGAAAAAUCAAAAUAUGUAAAUGUACAUGAUCCUGUUUAUAUAGCACAAGAGAACAUGACAAAUUUCACAUGCUUGUUCU
rnacentral:lncRNA from 1 species